UUCAUCUUUCUCCUUCUCAUUGAGCAUUACUUAGAAAGAGUUGCUAUAUAUUAUGGACAGUUUCCUAUAUUUUCUGAUUUCAAGGUUGAUUUUCCAUAGAGUCCUGUUUGUCCCCCAAUAGGUGAGCUUGCCUCUCAACACAGCAAGGAGAAAGAAUACUUCUAUAAAAGAAUACUUCUAUAUUAUAAAAUAAAAAAAUAAAUACACUUGUGUUCCUUUCCCUGUCACACACACACACACACACACACACACACACACACACACACACACACACACACACACACUCUGUCCGGCCUGUAGGGAAGAAGGAGAAAUUAAGACCAUAGCACUUUUAAGUUCUCGUAAAAGCUCUGCUUCCUGCACACCUGUUUCCACUUGUGCUUUCAAACUGAAAGAAGUUUACUGUCAUCCCAGAAGCAGCCUGUGCCAUAUGUGUACGAUAGUUGUUGCCUUAGCCUCUGGCUCGCCCAUCAGAGCUGCAGUGGAGAAAUGCCAUAAUGGGGGCAGCUUUCCUUUUUGUGUGUCUCCGAAUUUACCCCUUCACCUGCGCCUUGGCAGUGGUGUCUGCACAAAUGCAUACCAAUACUUAAUUUGGGGAAACAGGCUCUAGUGGGAAGAAUACGCAUAUGCUCAUGGUUUCAGCCCAAACCGUGUUUUUUGUUUGUUUUCUGUUUUUGUAAAUUGUCUCCUGUAAGCCCUGGUGCAACUCCCUGGCAAGGAGGGAGCCUUGGAGGGGAGAGUUGAGCCCAGGGCAGCCCCCUGGUUUGUGGCUCUAGUUAAGCUCUUUAAAUCCAGGGCUCUUGCUCUUCUGACCCCAGGACGUAUGUCCCUCAUUUCAAAUAAGAUCUGCAACAAUGCCUUUCUUCUGCUGCUCUUUCCCUGGACUCUGGGCUGGGGCUGUGACUUUAGUGGGUCUCAUUAAAUGCCACAGAUUUGUUCCUCCAUCCAAAGGAUGCGUUUUUGCCCACCUGGAGGCAAAAUCCAAGGGUGGGGUUGACGCAGAUGUGGGAUUUUUCACUUGAAAGUGUACAUAUGACUGAUAAAAAUGAUGCGGUUUGGCAAUUCAUCUUUGUAGGUGAAAGCCACCCUAGACAAUAUCAAUCAGGAAGCCAGUUGGCAUCUCCUUCGUCAGGAUUCAGCUCUGCUUUCAAUUUACUCUGCUCCCAGCUGUGUAGCAUCUCUGAGCUCAAGGUCAGCCAUUGACCUUGGCCAUAGGGGACAGAGCCACUGUGCCUGCAGGGAGGUGGCUUCUGCAGGGAAACGAGGUGGCAUCUUGGGUAUCCAGAUCUUGUGAGGGGGCAGCUGGGGACGGCUUCUUUAAGAAAGAGCACAGCAGGAGUUAGCGCUGGGAAAAAUCAAGACUUUGUAUCAAAGCAGAUGUUGGUCUUGGCUCCGUGUUAAUUCGCUUUUUGUUCUGAGCAAGGCUCCCUCUUCUAUACUCCCUAGGUUUUCUCAAGGUCUGCCUUCUUAUCUGAAGAACAGGGAUAGGAAGUUUAACACGUUGCAAAGUUUUUCUGUAUCAAAUGAUGCCAUAAGUAGGACAUACUUUAUAAUUAGGUCUCUGUGCAAAGCUGGUCAUGUAACUAUGCCUCCUUAAAUUUUACAGCCUCUUCCCUCUGCCCUGGAACUCUCCUCUCUUCCCCUAAGUGUCAUGGAAUCCCUUCUGAAAUGUUAGACAAAGGUGAUUUCCCUCUUUACUUAAAGAUCUAAUAAGCCGCUUAUAGCCCGGAUCUUAAACACACUAUUUCCAAUGUUUUAAUAAAUUUCUUUUCAGACUCGCUCUAAAACUGCUUUGGCAGUAAUGUCAUUUGAAAACUGUGAUCUGGGGAGUUCCCGUCAUGGCGCAGUGGUUAACGAAUCCGACUAGGAACCAUGAGGUUGCGGGUUCGAUCCCUGCCCUUGCUCAGUGGGUUAACGAUCCGGCGUUGCCGUGAGCUGUGGUGUAGGUUGCAGACGCGGCUCGGAUCCUGCGUUGCUGCGGUUCUGGCAUAGGCUGGCAGCUACAGCUCCAAUUAGACCCCUAGCCUGGGAACCUCCAUUUGCCAUGGAAGCGGCCCAAGAAAUGGCAAAAAGACAAAAAAAAAGAAAACUGUGAUCUGGAGUUCCUGUCACGGCUCAGUGGUUAAGGAACCUGACUAGUAUAAACGAGGAUGUGGAUUUGAUCCCAGGCCUCGCUCAGUGGGUUGAGAAUCCAGUGUUGCUGUGAGCUGUGGUGUAGGUUGAUGACACAACUCGGAUCCUGAGUUGCUGUGGCUGUGGUGUAGGCCGGCAGCUACAGCUCUGAUUUGACCCCUGGCCUGGGAACCUUCAUAUGCCUCUGGUGCAGCCCUAAAAAUGACAAAAGACCAAAAAAAAAANAA
rnacentral:lncRNA from 1 species